CGGGGUGUGGCGCAGCUUGGUAGCGCGCCUGCUUUGGGUGCAGGAGAUCGUGGGUUCAAAUCCCGCCACCCCGACGA
rnacentral:tRNA from 6 species